CUCUGGCAGCCUGCUGGCUGCUGCUCCCAACCGCGGGGAACCGCACCGCGCCACUUCUGAAGAGAGAAAGGGAGAAACGGUGGUGGGAACGGGCAGCCAAGGUUUGCAGAGAGGUUCCAGAUCGUGCCACACAUGGGAUAUCAGAGUGCUGAGACACUGAUUAUCACUAUGGGAAAAGACAGCCUGAGCCACGUCCACGUUGUUAGCCCAGGCUGUCAGCAGUGAGCGCUGAAUCCAACCGGUUCCUGAGGUCACCAAGGACCAGCAGGGCUCCCCUUGCUCCGUCCCUUCCCCUUGAAAACAAGGAAACGGAAGCACCAAGCAGAAGAAGCCCAGCCAUACCUUGCCACUCACACGGCAGGAAUUGGAACUGCGGUCGUCUUCUUGCUGAGACAUGGCUGCUGAAGGCUCAGAGGAAGCUGAAGUUCCAGGGGCUCUCUCUGCAGGAACUUCCCCGGCCCUUGGAAAGAGCUGGCUUCCCUCUUCCCAAGACCGCCUUGAUCCCAAAAUCUCCCUUGGGACAAUAACCCUGCAGAGAGUACCAACGAGUGCACACGCGAUGCUUCCGUCGGGCUCUCACAGGGUGAUCUGUUCCACAGAAGGCCCAGAGCUCAGUCUCUGCGUGCAGCACGCUCACCAGAGCACCAGCUCUGCUCACCAGCUGUGGCACAAACGCUCCCACCCCAGCAGUGGUUGUGACCUCAGCGAGUGCCCGCAUCGCCCUGGUGCUUUCAUCAUAAGCGAAGGAAAUGGACGCCUCCCAGCUCCACAUCUUAGGGUCACCCAAUGGGGUUAUCUGAAGAACAGGAAUGGAGAAGUGAAGACGACUCUUGUGCAGCCCAAUAAAAAACAGAAAAGACCAAUACGGCUUCACAGUGGUCAAUGGAGUCCCAGAGGAAUCACUGGAAACCAAUAGCAACGCACGCGUGGAUGUCCCGGGGCUGGUGCAGGUCUGUCUGGCUGUGGCGUUAGGUUCGGGGACCGAUGUAGGCCUCUCAGGCUGUGGCUGU
rnacentral:lncRNA from 1 species